CAACUCAAGGAGCGUUGCAGCGGCCGUCAUAUCGGCCGUCAGGCUUGAGCAAACCCGCAACGGCGCUCACCUCGG
rnacentral:ncRNA from 2 species